GUUGAGUGUGGUGUGAAAGAAUGUACCUGGGAGCCAGUGCAGAGACCCUGAGGCAGAAGGCUGCUGGGCUGUAUUGGCCCCAGCCAGGGAUGCGCCACCUUUUUGCUUGUCCACUCACCCACCGGAAGCUGGGCUGUCUCCCUUCUUUGGCUUCUAAGAGUAGAGCUGAGUGACGAAUCUGCCUUUACCCUGAGGUGAGCAGCAGCCAUCUGCCACAGGGUGAGCUCCCUCAGUUUGCUGUUCCCUGGAAGCCAGUGGAGAUCCUGCACUUACUGGAGGUGAUUCCUUUGGGGACCCAUGGGACUCGGAUCACCGCCCACCAAACAUGG